AGAGUUUGAUCCUGGCUCAGGAUGAACGCUGGCGGCGUGCCUAACACAUGCAAGUCGAACGGAGUUCUUAAGGAAUGCGACUUCGGUCAAAUGACUUUUGAACUUAGUGGCGGACGGGUGAGUAACGCGUGAGCAACCUGCCUUUCAGAGGGGGAUAACAUUUGGAAACAGAUGCUAAUACCGCAUAAGAUUACAGUACCGCAUGAUACAGUGAUCAAAGGAGCAAUCCGCUGAAAGAUGGGCUCGCGUCCGAUUAGAUAGUUGGUGAGGUAACGGCUCACCAAGUCGACGAUCGGUAGCCGGACUGAGAGGUUGAACGGCCACAUUGGGACUGAGACACGGCCCAGACUCCUACGGGAGGCAGCAGUGGGGAAUAUUGCACAAUGGGCGAAAGCCUGAUGCAGCAACGCCGCGUGAGGGAAGACGGUUUUCGGAUUGUAAACCUCUGUUUUCGGUGACGAACAAAUGACGGUAACCGAGUAGGAAGCCACGGCUAACUACGUGCCAGCAGCCGCGGUAAUACGUAGGUGGCAAGCGUUAUCCGGAAUUACUGGGUGUAAAGGGAGCGCAGGCGGGAUAGCAAGUCAGCUGUGAAAACUAUGGGCUCAACCCAUAAACUGCAGUUGAAACUGUUAUUCUUGAGUGGAGUAGAGGCAAGCGGAAUUCCGAGUGUAGCGGUGAAAUGCGUAGAUAUUCGGAGGAACACCAGUGGCGAAGGCGGCUUGCUGGGCUCUAACUGACGCUGAGGCUCGAAAGUGUGGGGAGCAAACAGGAUUAGAUACCCUGGUAGUCCACACUGUAAACGAUGAAUACUAGGUGUGCGGGGACUGACCCCCUGCGUGCCGCAGUAAACACAAUAAGUAUUCCACCUGGGGAGUACGAUCGCAAGGUUGAAACUCAAAGGA
rnacentral:rRNA from 1 species